CCAAAGGCUCUUUUAAGAGCCACCCACAUACCCACAAAGAGAGCUG
rnacentral:ncRNA from 1 species